CCUUUAUAUUUUGAGUUAAAUGCAUGUUUAGUUAAUUUAUUUUUAAAAAAAAUUCUCAAGACAUCAUACUGUUAAAUAUGUUACACUCUAGUCACUUGGGCUUGUAGCCCAGUGGUGAGUCAUUACCCUUAAAGUUAAGCAUGACUAUAAGGGCAAUGGUUUAAGUUCCCAUGGACUCAACCUCCCUCAAUUAAACAUAAUUGUGUGGAGAUUACUUAUAACAUUUUUCUCCCUUGCGAAAUGCGAGUGGAGUAGAGACAUCCCUCUUUUGUGAGGAGUAUUUGGCUAGACAUGUACUUCAUAAAAUAAAAAUAUAAUAAUGUGUCUAGACAUGUACUUCAUAAAAUAAAAAUAUAAUAAUGUAAGUCUUAGGUAGACAUCCCUCUUUUGUGAGGAGUAUUUGGUUAGACAUGUAUUUCAUAAAAUAAAAAUAUAAUAAUGUGGCUAGACAUGUACUUCAUAAAAUAAAAAUAUAAUAAUGUAAGUCUUAGGUAUAUAUCUGGGACUAAAUAUCUAGCAAUGAUUUGUUGUCAUAACAAUUAUAAAUAUCUAUGUAAUACAAUAACCUAAUGCUUAAUCAGUUCAAAAAAAAUGUUACACUCUUACCCUUACUUUUUUAUUUUCUUUUAUAGUAAUGCCCUUACAACACUAUUCAAGGAAUAUUAAUUAAAAAUAAAAUUUUACCAAAUUAACAUUAAAAGUAACAUAAAAAUUUACAUAAUUUUUAUUUUAUUAUUUUACUUUAGGAUUAAUUUGAUAAAUUAAUCUUUUACAAAAUAAAAUUCUUAUACAAAUAUUAAAAAAAUACUAGCCUUUUACACUAAUACUUAUCAGUUAAUUUUACGAGUGGAUAAUUCAAAAUUACCCAAAAUUUAUUAUCAUUUAUGAUUCACCUCAGCUAAAAAGAAGAAAGAAAGAAAGAAAAGUGAAGGGAAAUGGCAUAGAGGGGUAAAAUGGAGAAAUGAGGAAAUGGUGUGGAGGAGGACAAUACAAAGCUGUCCAAUCAAUCAAUGUCCCGAAGUAAUCAGACAAAAGAGGAAAGCCCAAGCCUUUUCUAUUUUUAGGGACACCCGAUGACAAACUUCACUCGUACACUUAUGCCUCCAUCUUCUAUCCUAUUCCAUAAUUCCACCCGGUGCCACCGCUCCUAACCUGAUCUUUCUCUCUCGCUCGCUCGCGCGCACUAUCACUAUCUAUUUUUUUUGAAUUUUGGAAUUAUUAUUUUCGUAUUUAUUUUUUUAAAAAUCAACUCAAAAGCCCCCUUUCUCUUUUCCAUGGAGCGGCCCCUAAACGCCCUCCACCGGCCCCCCUUGUUCCCCGACCCGCCACGUGUCUAAAUUUGUAUCCUUGUUGCACCCGCUCCCUUCUUGUGGCUUAUCCGCUCAACUAAAUCCUGCUAUGCCAACGCAUAAAAUAACUACGUAUAUUUUCUUAAAAUAAAUAAAUACAUAAAUACAUACGUACACACGCACCCCGCCUAUAUGUAUAUAUUUAUUUAUUUUUAAAUAUAACGGGUGGACAAAAUUUAAAUCAAUUUAUAUAAAAUUUACAGCCUGAAUGAUCAAAUUUAUUAUACUUUCAUAUGUGAAAUUUUACAAAUUGGCGAAGUAAAAAAAUAUUUAUUUUUAUUGAAAUUAAUUUUGUGUAUUUGGUGAAUUUUAAUGACAUUAUUUUUGUAAAGACCAAGCUUUCUAGUUCAAUGCCCUCAAUUCUGCUUUAAAAUUGAAGGGGGAAAAAAAUCUGUAAAUUACAUUAUCAGACCACUAAAAUUUUGGUAAUCAAACUUAAUUUUGUGAAUGGCAUUUGCAAGUCACUUCGGGAAGCUCUUUCCGUAUGUAUAGAACUUGGAAAGAGCCAAGGGAGAGUUGAUCUUCUUCUGGCUGUACCACUAAGAAACCAGUUGCAUAAGGACUAUGAAUAUUUUCUUCAUUUAUAUCUAUAUUUCUAAAUCCCCAACAAUGAGGAGAUCAAUCCGUACUGUGUGAUUUGAGUUUAGCUACAUGAUAUUGAGACGCGACCAAAAAAAAAAAAAAAGAACCAACAACCCCUGAUAGUAUAAUUUAUUAUUAUUUUGUUGGCAUUUUUAGUAGGAAAAGAAGAAAAAAAUGCAUGCGUGCUAAGAUCUCGUGAUUCUCGAUCUCAACAUCAUAUCCCACAGGGAGAUUGCUAAUUUCUUCUUUGUGGAAAAUAACAUAUACCAUCUACCUCCUACUGUCCGGUUCGACUCGCAGGGAAGUCACAUUUGUUGGGAGAACCUGUGCCUCUCGGUUUGAGCGGAGAUUUCUAGUAUAGGUUGUGGUACGGGUUUAAAGGUACCUCCCACAGUUAGGGUUCUCCCCAUAAUACCUCGUGGUCAAAACCAAAAAAAAAAAAUCUACCUCCUAUUGUUUUUAUAAUAGCAAAGAACUUCCUCAUAACAUAAUUUUACAAUCUUACCCUUAUUUUGAAAUACACUUUUAUUCAUAUU
rnacentral:lncRNA from 1 species